rnacentral:rRNA from 1 species
UACGUAGGGGGCAAGCGUUGUCCGGAAUCAUUGGGCGUAAAGCGCGCGUAGGCGGCCUGCUAAGUCGGAUGUGAAAUCCCUCGGCUCAACCGAGGAACUGCAUCCGAUACUGGCGGGCUUGAAUCCGGGAGAGGGAUGUGGAAUUCCAGGUGUAGCGGUGAAAUGCGUAGAUAUCUGGAGGAACACCGGUGGCGAAGGCGGCAUCCUGGACCGGUAUUGACGCUGAGGCGCGAAAGCUAGGGGAGCAAACGGG